rnacentral:rRNA from 1 species
GACGAACGCUGGCGGCGUGCUUAACACAUGCAAGUCGAACGGAGCCUAUCGAAUGAAGUUUUCGGACAGAUUUUGAGACAGCUUAGUGGCGGACGGGUGAGUAACGCGUGAGGAACCUGCCUUUCAGAGGGGGACAACAGUUGGAAACGACUGCUAAUACCGCAUAAUGCAGAUUUGUGGCAUCACAAAGCUGCCAAAGAUUUAUCGCUGAAAGAUGGCCUCGCGUCUGAUUAGAUAGUUGGUGAGGUAACGGCUCACCAAGUCGACGAUCAGUAGCCGGACUGAGAGGUUGAACGGCCACAUUGGGACUGAGACACAGCCCAA